rnacentral:rRNA from 1 species
CUCAGAUUGAACGCUGGCGGCAGGCCUAACACAUGCAAGUCGAACGGUAACAGGAAGCAGCUUGCUGCUUUGCUGACGAGUGGCGGACGGGUGAGUAAUGUCUGGGAAACUGCCUGAUGGAGGGGGAUAACUACUGGAAACGGUGGCUAAUACCGCAUAACGUCGCAAGACCAAAGAGGGGGACCUUCGGGCCUCUUGCCAUCAGAUGUGCCCAGAUGGGAUUAGCUUGUUGGUGAGGUAACGGCUCACCAAGGCGACGAUCCCUAGCUGGUCUGAGAGGAUGACCAGCCACACUGGAACUGAGACACGGUCCAGACUCCUACGGGAGGCAGCAGUGGGGAAUAUUGCACAAUGGGCGCAAGCCUGAUGCAGCCAUGCCGCGUGUAUGAAGAAGGCCUUCGGGUUGUAAAGUACUUUCAGCGGGGAGG